AUUGAACGCUGGCGGCAUGCCUUACACAUGCAAGUCGAACGGUAACGGGCCUUCGGGUGCCGACGAGUGGCGAACGGGUGAGUAAUGUAUCGGAACGUACCUUUCAGUGGGGGAUAACGUAGCGAAAGUUACGCUAAUACCGCAUAUUCUGUGAGCAGGAAAGCAGGGGAUCGCAAGACCUUGCGCUGAUUGAGCGGCCGAUAUCAGAUUAGCUAGUUGGUGAGGUAAAGGCUCACCAAGGCGACGAUCUGUAGCGGGUCUGAGAGGAUGAUCCGCCACACCGGAACUGAGACACGGUCCAGACUCCUACGGGAGGGAGCAGUGGGGAAUUUUGGACAAUGGGGGCAACCCUGAUCCAGCCAUGCCGCGUGAGGGAAGAAGGCCUUCGGGUUGUAAAGCUCUUUCGGCCGGGAAGAAAUCGUAUCAGCUAAUACCUGGUGCGGAUGACGGUACCGGCAUAAGAAGCACCGGCUAACUACGUGCCAGCAGCCGCGGUAAUAC
rnacentral:rRNA from 1 species